GCUUCAGAGAGCUCUCUCCUGCACAGACACUUCAGACUCUUCAGUGAUGCCCUUUUUGGUGCUCUGAAGAGGUGACCACGUGGGCUGCCAGCUGUCCUUGGUCACAUUAAAGCCAAACCAAGCCUGGAGUAAUCAAGGCCAUGGGAGUUGAAUUCUCACUUAAUGUGUCACGGCCUGACAAAAGUCCUGGUGAAGGCACUUUUGGGACCUCUGUAGGUCACUUUCAAAGGAUCUUGUCAAGCGGGAGCCCCUUCUGAACUCAACUGCUGUUUGGCCUUAAAGAGCCAAGAACUACAGCCACCAGGUGCACAAAGGAGAGGUGAAGCCUGCUGAGAUUGGACAUGGGGACCUCAGGAGUGACCCAUAGGGAGUCUUCCAUUGGUGUCAUUCAAUCAUCUACUUGAAGCCAGCUUGAGGAGGUUGAAAGGAUAUUGAUGACAACAUGGCGAGUGUGGAACAGACAGAAGAAUAGAUGGUGGCUUCCACAUUGUGAAACUGAUUGAACUCCUCUGGCAGGCUGUAAAGCCAAUGGGCUUGCUCUGAGAUUUAUAGGAACAAGACUUUUAACCUUUCUCAGAACUCAGCCAUGAGCACUUGUGUUCAGGUCAGGAGAUGGUCUCUGUGACAGAUGCCUUACUCUACUUAGCUGCAGUUCUCAGGCAUGAUGAGAUGAAAAAAAAAAUCAUCUUAGGAAGAGACUUGCCUUUUUUGAGAAAAUGCCUUGAAAAGCUCACUUUUGCAGUCAGUUCCUUUGAAGCAUGGCUGUUUUCUGGGACUAACAUUUCUGAGAAAGAACCAAUGUUAUUUUGUGUAAGAAAAGAAGAGCUUUAUUUAUGUUUUUAUUUUGUCUUGGGGCACAAGAGUAAAAAGGAAGAAGAACAAGCUAGCAAGGUGGUAGGAGGUUAUGUGUUGUGCGGUGUUAUGCAUCUUCACCAAUAUCAUUAAAAAUCAUAAAUGUU